AGUGAACGCUGGCGGUAGGCCUAACGCAUGCAAGUCGAACGGCAGCACAGUAAGAGCUUGCUCUUACGGGUGGCGAGUGGCGGACGGGUGAGGAAUACAUCGGAAUCUACUUUUUCGUGGGGGAUAACGUAGGGAAACUUACGCUAAUACCGCAUACGACCUACGGGUGAAAGCAGGGGAUCUUCGGACCUUGCGCGAUUGAAUGAGCCGAUGUCGGAUUAGCUAGUUGGCGGGGUAAAGGCCCACCAAGGCGACGAUCCGUAGCUGGUCUGAGAGGAUGAUCAGCCACACUGGAACUGAGACACGGUCCAGACUCCUACGGGAGGCAGCAGUGGGGAAUAUUGGACAAUGGGCGCAAGCCUGAUCCAGCCAUACCGCGUGGGUGAAGAAGGCCUUCGGGUUGUAAAGCCCUUUUGUUGGGAAAGAAAAGCAGCAGGGUAAUACCCCGCUGUUCUGACGGUACCCAAAGAAUAAGCACCGGCUAACUUCGUG
rnacentral:rRNA from 1 species